rnacentral:tRNA from 1 species
ACCUGGCUGGCUCAGUAGGAAGAGUGUGAGACUCUUGAUCUCGGGAUCAUGGGUUUAAAGCUCCAUGUUGGGUG